rnacentral:rRNA from 1 species
AACGAACGCUGGCGGCAGGCUUAACACAUGCAAGUCGAGCGCCCCGAAAGGGGAGCGGCAGACGGGUGAGUAACGCGUGGGAAUGUGCCCUUUGGUCUGGAAUAACUCAGGGAAACUUGAGCUAAUACCGGAUAAGCCCUUCGGGGGAAAGAUUUAUUGCCAUUGGAGCAGCCCGCGUCAGAUUAGCUAGUUGGUUAGGUAAAAGCUCACCAAGGCGAUGAUCUGUAGCUGGUCUGAGAGGACGACCAGCCACACUGGGACUGAGACACGGCCCAGACUCCUACGGGAGGCAGCAGUGGGGAAUAUUGGACAAUGGGGGCGACCCUGAUCUAGCCAUGCCGCGUGAGUGAUGAAGGCCUUAGGGUUGUAAAGCUCUUUUACUCGGGAAGAUAAUGACUGUACCGAGAGAAUAAGCCCCGGCUAACUUCGUGCCAGCCGCCGCGGUAA